GAUGAACGCUGGCGGCGUGCCUAAUACAUGCAAGUCGAGCGAACGGACGAGAAGCUUGCUUCUCUGAUGUUAGCGGCGGACGGGUGAAUAACACGUGGAUAACCUACCUAUAAGACUGGGAUAACUUCGGGAAACCGGAGCUAAUACCGGAUAAUAUUUUGAACCGCAUGGUUCAAAAGUGAAAGACGGCCUUGCUGUCACUUAUAGAUGGAUCCGCGCUGCAUUAGCUAGUUGGUAAGGUAACGGCUUACCAAGGCAACGAUGCAUAGCCGACCUGAGAGGGUGAUCGGCCACACUGGAACUGAGACACGGUCCAGACUCCUACGGGAGGCAGCAGUAGGGAAUCUUCCGCAAUGGGCGAAAGCCUGACGGAGCAACGCCGCGUGAGUGAUGAAGGUCCUCGGAUCGUAAAACUCUGUUAUUAGGGAAGAACAUAUGUGUAAGUAACUGUGCACAUCUUGACGGUACCUAAUCAGAAAGCCACGGCUAACUACGUG
rnacentral:rRNA from 1 species